UACCGGCAGCUCAAGUGGUAGCCGCGAUUAUUGGGCCUAAAACGUUCGUAGCCGGAUAAGUAAGUCUUUGGUUAAAUCCUGCGACUCAACCGUGGGAAUUCUAGAGAUACUGCUUGUCUUGAGACCGGGAGAGGUUGGAGGUACUCCUAGGGUAGGGGUGAAAUCCUGUAAUCCUAGGGGGACCACCUGUGGCGAAGGCGUCCAACUGGAACGGGUCUGACGGUGAGGGACGAAACCUAGGGGAGCGAGCCGGAUUAGAAACCCUAGUAGUCC
rnacentral:rRNA from 1 species